GAUGAACGCUAGCUACAGGCUUAACACAUGCAAGUCGAGGGGAAACGGGAGAAUAGCUUGCUAUUCUUUGUCGUCGACCGGCGCACGGGUGAGUAACGCGUAUCCAACCUUCCCAUAACUAAGGAAUACCCCGUAGAAAUGCGGCCUAAUCCCUUAUGGCCUCUUAUGCCUGUCAUGGGAAUAAGAGUAAAGAUUUAUCGGUUAUGGAUGGGGAUGCGUCCGAUUAGCUUGCUGGCGGGGUAACGGCCCACCAGGGCAUCGAUCAGUAGGGGUUCUGAGAGGAAGGUCCCCCACAUUGGAACUGAGACACGGUCCAAACUCCUACGGGAGGCAGCAGUGAGGAAUAUUGGUCAAUGGGCGAGAGCCUGAACCAGCCAAGUAGCGUGCAGGAUGACGGCCCUAUGGGUUGUAAACUGCUUUUUAAGGGGAAUAAAGAGGGACACGCGUGUCCUGUUGCAUGUACCCUUGGAAUAAGGACCGCUAAU
rnacentral:rRNA from 1 species